GCCUCCCAUGGGAAUGUGGCCUGACAAAGGCCUGCUUGGGUGAGACAGGCACUGGAGACCAUAGAUUCCACAUCUUUUUUUUUGGUUUUGUUUUGUUUUUUUGUUUUUUUAGGGCUGCACCUGAGGUAUAUGGAAAAUUCCCAGGCUAGGGGUCAAAUCAGAGCUUAGCUGCCAGCCUGCACCACAGCAAUGCCAGAUCUGUGGCAAUGCCGGAUCCUUAACCCACGGAGUGAGCAAGGGAUCGAACCCUCAUCCUUACGGAUACUAGUUGGGUUUGUUACCACUGAACUACAUUGAGAACUCCAGAUUCUACAUCUUAAUGAGAGGUAACAUCAUACUGCAAAGAGGGCUUGGAACUUGAGUAAAAAAGCGGCUUAGCACCAGCCAGAAGAAGAGGUGUAUUCUUUUGUAACCAGGAUUCUCCAGAGAAACAGAAUGGAUAGAAUGACUGGAAUAGAAUGAGAGCGCGGUAAUCGUAAGGAACUGGCUUACAUGAUUAUGGAGGCUGAGUAAGAGGCAUGGACGUUUCAACCUCAACUGAAGGCAUUGAUUGGGAGGGUUUCUCCCAGAGUUGGCCCACUUGGAAACCAGGUAAUCUGAGCUGGAGGAAAAAAGGCACCCCCCCACCCCAGAGCUGGUGAGCACACACAAUACAAAGCUUUUAACUCAGAUCAGAGUGUUCAGUUGUUGGCCUUUCUACAGGGGGCGGAGCUGGGGGGCUGGAGGCAGUUGAGAUCGGUUGGAAAGGGGAUAGUGGGAAUGUGCUUACUUUUCCUCAGAGGGAAGAGGUUGUUGGAGUGGAGGUGGGGGUGGAGGAAAUUGGCCAAAAUGGGAAAGAAGGAGCUAGAGAGGGGGUGGGGUGUGCUGGGAGGGUACUUGAGAGUUAUCAGAAGCCGAGGCCUCUUUUCAUGGAAGCCUGGUUGUUGAGUUGGUUGAAGUGUUUUUCCAAACUCUAAACCCUCGUCACUCAGGACUGUGGCUUCAGGAACCAUCCAACUACUGCUUUGCCCUUGUGAGUAAAUGGCCAAUUAUCUUAAACUGUUAAAAGAGCCCAGAAGUCUCAAAUAAGGGUCAGUUCCCCAAAGGCUGGGAAUGAGCUGACCCAAUUUUAAAAAGUUCCAGGCAUAAAGCUGAAGAAAGCAUGGCUUUGUGUGGGUGUGUUAAGUGUGGGGGAACUAUUUUUUGUAAAAAAAAUAGCUAUAUUGAGGGAGUUCCCAUUGUGGCCCCAGCUGGUUAAGAACCCAACAGAGGAAAGUGAGACAUUGGAUUGAGGGAAAGGGCUCUUAGCAAAAAAGUAAGAUUUAAUAGAGAGAUGGGACAGAGAUGGAAAGUGGACUUGAAAAACAGCUUGUUUAAUUUGGACUGUGUGAGAUGGUUUCCAAACAAACAUCCCUCCCCUUUCUCCAGCCUAUGCCUUUUUCAGUUUCCAGACCCUGACGUCAUGACUCAGUGCAGCUGCAGUUAUGUAUCUUUUCCUUUCCGCUUGACCUCCCUCAGCUAAAGUACCACUUUCUUGGCACCCAAAAUGGAGUGCACUGCCAAUGGAGCAGAUGAGAGAUUGAUUUUGGACUGUCAGCCCUGAUGGAAAGUGGAGGGUGAUUGCAUGGCCUUCUUUGAGGCAGUCACUAGAAAAUGGUGCGGGGAGGCUCUUCUGAGAGGGUGGAAUUUGGGCUGCCUAUAAAACUCUUUUCUGGAAAAGGGACACUGAUAGACCCCUUCCUUCCUGAAUCAGUCAGGACCAUGACCCCCUCUAGAUGGAGUCCCAGGCACAUUCUCCUCCAGGGACAGGGAUGACGUUGUCUUGGGAGUUAGUGCGAUGUGUGACCUGGUGAGGUCUGAGGACUCAAGGGAAGAGAGGGAUGCUGAAUGCAGCAACAGCCCCUGUCAAGCUAAUACGGGAAAACAGGUAUCUAUCAGGAGAGGGCAGGUUUUCUUUUUAAACAUGGCAGGAGACUCACUUCUUUGAAGAAUGCCAGGAGCCAUGGUACCAUUGUAAUUUAAAAUAUCAUCAGGAAGAGAUCUGGAUGGAGCAAGUGGAUUAGAAAUCUGGAUUUCUAGGUAGAGUAAUGGACAUGUGAUCUAAUAAGAGUUUCAUUAAAGAUGGUAAAGAUGAUAAAGAUGAUUAUGUCAGGGGCCUUAGACAUGGCAUCUUCCCAGAGCUCUGGAAUACUCUUGUAAAUUAUUUCACUUAGGCUCAUGUCUUUCCAAGAUAGGUGAGGGGGAGGGCAGGUCCAUAGAGGGAAGAGCAUAAGUUGAAAAAUAUGCUGCUUCCACCUGCAUUCUUCUUCGGUGGUUAGGGGUUGCUGUAGCUGGUCACCACUUUUUUUUUUUUGUCUUUUUAGGGCUGCACCCAUGGCAUAUGGAGGUUCCCUGACUAUGGGUUGAAUUGGAGCUGUAGCUGCUGGCCUGUGUCACAGCCAUAGCAACACCAGAUCCAAGCCAUCUCUGUGACCUACACCACAGCUCAUGGCAAUGCUGGAUCCUUAACCCACUGAGGGAGGCCAGGGAUCAAACCCAUGUCCUCAUGGAUGGUAGUCAGAUUCGUUUCUGCUGCGUUACGAUGGGAACUCUGCUGGUCCCCACUUUAGUUGUUCCAUCUGACUCUGAUGGUAUAGCAAGAAGAGCGUAUGAGUCUCUAGUUCCAUCCGUGUUGCAGCAAAUGGCAUUAUUUUGUUCAUUUUUAUGGCUGAGUAGUAUUCCAUUGUGUAUAUAUACCACAUCUUUUUUAUUUAUUUAUUUUUUUGGUCUUUUUGUCUUUUCUAGGGCCACACCCAAGGCAUAUGGAUGUUCCCAGGCUAGGGGUCUAAUGGGAGCCAUAGCCACCGGCCUACGCCAGAGCCACAGCAAUGCAGGAUCUGAGCCACGUCUGCAACCUACACCUCAGCUCACAGCAAUGCCAGAUCCUUAACCCACUGAGUGAGGCCAGGGCUUAAACCCGAAACCUCAUGCUUCCUAGUCAGAUUCGUUAACCACUGUGCCACAACAGAAACUCCACCACAUGUUUUUAACCCAUUCAUCUUUUGAUGGACAUUUAGGUUGUUUCCGUGUCUUGGCUAUUGUGAAUAGUGCUGCAAUGAACAUGCGGGUGCAUGUAUAUUUUUCAACGAAAGUUUUGUUGGGAUACAUGCCCAAGAGUGGGAUUGCUGGGUCAAAUGGUAGUUCUAUGUAUAGUUUUCUAAGGUGACUGCAUACUGUUUUCCAUAGUGGUUAUACCAAUUUGCAUUGUCACCAACAGCGUAGGAGGGUUUUCUUUUCUCCACAUCCUCUCCAGCAUUGUUACUUGUUGACCUGUUAAUGAUGGCCAUUCCCACCUGUGUGAGGUGGUACCUCAUUAUAGUUUUGAUUUACAUUUCUCUGAUAAUUAGUGAUGUUGAACAUCUUUUCACGUGCCCGUUGGUUUUCUUUGGAGAAAUGUCUAUUCAGGUCUUCUGCCCAUUUUUCAAUUGGGUGGCUGUUUUUUUUUUUUUUUUUUUUGCUGUUGAGUUGUGUAAGUUGUUUGCGUAUUUGUCGGGAGACAUGUUUCUACAAUCUUUUCUUAGCCUCUUUGGUUCUGUUUUCUAUGCUGAAAACUCCAUCUUGUCCUGCUUUACUUGACCCCGUAUUCCUGCUUGAAAACCAUUCGCAGUGCUGGUAAAUAACUUAAGCUUAAGAACAAAGACCAAAAGGCAUAAAUUAUUCACGUGGUCAGCUGAAUGAGGACAUAAUGUGUUGGUCUAGACAUGCUGAACCUCUGCAGAUUGGCACACCAUUUGCACAGCAUGAUAUGUCCUGUUAAAAUAAGAGAAAGAGGGACCUCAUGGCCUCAGGGGGUUAUGAGCGGUCGUUAGCAGAAUAUGCAUCAGCAAGGAGAAUGAGGUGCAAACGUAGGCACAUGGGGUUGUGGGUUGUGGCAGACAGGCAUGCCUGUCUUUGGAAGCACAAUGAUGAUUCUCUAGAUGCUACGCAUAGACAGCUAAGGCCAGGCUUCCUCAAUGCUAAUGAUUGUUAAAUGCCUAAAGGUCAGAAUAAAAGCUUAACCAGCUACCAGCCAUGUGACUUUUAAAAUAAUAAAAGAACUUUUAAAAUAAUAAAAGAACUGUAUCCUGUACCUACACCCCCCCUCCUCACUUGAUGUAAUCCUGAAAAGCACAAUAAAAGCAGUGUGGUUUCUUGAGGCGGUGCUCUUGGUCCCUGAGACCUUGAGUCUGCUGGUUCCCACCUUUAAUUUAGAUAAAUGUCUCUGUGUCUUGUAUUAUGUUAAAUUUUGCUCAAGUUUCUCAGCACCCGUUCUUCAGCCCUCACCUGCUGAGCUGAUCUCAACUAGUGGCGCCCAACGUGGGGUUUGAGGAACAAAGGCCUGCAACCACAGUGGAUUUUCAUUCACUAGAAGUGCUGUGGAGCCCUGAGAGGAAGGGAAGAAUUUUGCAUGGCCACCCUAAAGAGAUCCUGCAGAUAAGUUCCCUUUCUCAGGUAUUUACAGGGUAACAUGGGAAAUAAUGUAAUUGCAGGAAACUGUAGUCCUUAUAUAUUUGUCUGUUAGGACAACUCCUUAAAGCAGGGGGUGCAAAAACAAGUGAACAUAAGCUUUUGGAACUUUUUCAGGCUAUUGAGACACAUUGUGAUUGGUUUCCUACGUUAGGAAAGUUAGAUUUAAAAAUAUGGGAAAAGGUAGGAACGGAACUUAAAAUAUUACGUGAUAAGGGCGUUCCAAAUUUGGCCCAUUUGGAGCACUUGGAGCUUAAUUAAAUCAGUUUUAGAAACUUUAUAGACUACGGAGAAUUUAGAGGAAGAAGGAAGGGAGUUUACACCUUUGUUUGAGGAAGCUAAAUAUGUAGUCCCUGAAGAAAAUUGUCUAGAGAAUCUUUGGCUCCAAGUUUUGAUUUUGAUGCUCCCCAGUUGCCUCCUAUAAGGAGUGAAGUGAUGAGGAUUCAUCAAGCCUCUAGUUCUUCUAGGGUUGUAAAGAAAAUGAGCGUUAUCCCUGAGCGCCAUCUAUCAUCCAUUCAACAGGGAAUUUUCAGGCUCAAAGGAAAGGCAAUUUAGAUGUUAUACAUCUAGCCUUUCCAGUAACUGUCAGGGAGACAAUGGCUCCAGGCAUUGAUCCCACCAACCCUGAUGGAGUUUAUGAGUUCAUUUAUGAGCCCUUU
rnacentral:lncRNA from 1 species